rnacentral:pre_miRNA from 1 species
AUUAAUUUUCAGUUUUUAGAAUGACUAUUCGUCUUAUUUAAAAAAUCAUAAUUAGUAUUUUUAUUGAUAGAUGAUAAAAUAUGAAUAGAACUUUACACGUGACUAAUUUUUUAAUAUUUUUUUAAAUGAGACGGAGGGUUAAACGCUCGACACGGAAACAAAGAAAUGCUCUUUUU